ACUGUUUACCAAAAACAUAGCCCUCGGCUAAUAUGAAAAUAGAUGUAUAGAGGGUGAUGCCUGCCCAAUGGUUGUAUCUAAAAGCGGUUGAUAAAAGUUGACCUCGUAAGGACAAUUGAAUGGCCGCGGUAACACUGACCGUGAUAAUGUAGCGUAAUCAAUAGCCAAUUAAUUGUUGGCCAGUAUGAAUGGCGCCACGAAGGCCCCACUGUCUUAAGGAAAUUCCCAGUGAAAUUGAAUUCGUAGUGAAGAUGCUACGUCCAAUUUGUUAGACGAAAAGACCCCGUUGAGCUUUACUGGAGCACUUACAUGGCCCCGGCCUUCCCAUGCCUGGGAACCGGCCGAAUUUAAAUGGGCGGCUUAGAUUAUGUGGCAGCCCCCCGCUGGGGCAAAUGAAACACCACUCCCCCAUGUCAAAGGGGCUAACCCCCCCCCCUUGGGGGGAC
rnacentral:rRNA from 1 species